AUGCGGAGGAUCCGAGCGUUAUCCGGAUUUAUUGGGUUUAAAGGGUGCGCAGGCGGCCAUUUAAGUCAGCGGUUAAAUCGUGGGGCUCAACCCCAUUCUGCCGUUGAUACUGGGUGGCUUGAUUGCGGUCGAGGUUGGCGGAAUUCGUUGUGUAGCGGUGAAAUGCAUAGAUAUGACGAAGAACACCGAUUGCGUAGGCAGCUGACCAGACCGCAAAUGACGCUCAUGCACGAAAGUGCGGGGAUCGAACAGGAUUAGAUACCCUGGUAGUCCGCACAGUAAACGAUGAAUACUUGUUUUCGGCGAUAUAAUGUCGGAGGCAAAGCGAAAGCGAUAAGUAUUCCACCUGGGGAGUACGCCGGCAACGGUGAAACUCAAAGGAAUUGGCGGGG
rnacentral:rRNA from 1 species